GAAAAAGCGAUGACGGAAAAGAGUAGUUUGCGGGAAGCAUCCAGAGAGAACGGCGUUUGGUGGAAGCCGUUUAUGUGAAACGUUUACGAAAACCAUUCCCCAGCCGCGGCGCCGAAGAUGAAUUGCCAUUGGUAAGCGCCGACGUACACCUGCGUUAAAGGUUAGGAUUUGAUGGAAUCUGAAGUGAAAAGUGAAGGUGGAACCGUGCGAUACGCACCCUUGGA
rnacentral:ncRNA from 1 species